GAAAGAAGAUUAUCUCAUCUUUACCUGUUAAACGACCAAGAACCGCGAUUUCUGUGACCUUAAAAGAAGACAUCGCGCGAUCGUAAUGGGAAAUUGGAGCGCUUUAUAGAUCAGACAUCAAUAAAAAUGGGAAAAUGAGUCUCGUGCUGAGAGGUGAUUCGCAAUUAGCGAUUGCCGUGCUCGACAUGAAAGCUUCGCAUUCUCGUUAAAACAGAGUUCGAAAGUGUCGCGCGAUCGGGUAAUAAACGUUCGCCGCAAUUGGCCGAUAAAAUCCGUCAAAGAACGGUACUAUUGAACUGUCUUAAUAAGGCACCGAUACGUCUCCCAUGGCAACAGCUGUGCCUCGCUUAGGGUGGUCUUAGGGUGGUCUUAGGGUGGUGUUGCUGGGGGGUUGUUAUGAAUGGGGCGCGACGGCCACGUGCGCGCACAGUCUCGAAACGCAGGAAAAGGACAAGGGUAGUUCAGCUGCUCCCGGCUCCGAGUCUUCUUCCUGAUCAAUAACAGCUAUCCUUGAGUCUCGCAACACGCUCGCGAGGAACAUCGUCGACAAUAUUGUUAUACGCAAAAUGAUUAUUUUGCAGAAAUAUCGUUCAGAAAUGUGGGAAGGAUGUAAUCUUUUCUUUAGCUAAUAUAUAUUAAGGUUUCUAUAUGAAUUAAAUUGGAUUUCUUCGGGGCUUCAGAUAAUCCUUGUAGGUACAUCCUUUAACAUGUGUAAUAAAGAAAAGGGUGCGGCCACUGCGGAAACCCAGCAUGUAUUUAAAGUUUAUGUCACGGUGAGGGUAAGAGACCAUAAUGGUUAAAGCAAUAAAGACUUUUUAACUACCUUAAGGUGCAAAACUCUUGACUUAAAAUAUUUUAUAAUUAAAAGAUUAAUAAAUAUGAAGGAUAAUUAAGACAGU